rnacentral:tRNA from 1 species
UACUUAGUGGCCGAGUGAUAGGUGAAAGUUUUUUAAACUAUUUACAACAGUAGUUCUAAGUAGC